AAACCCGAUUCCUCACAAGCCCUAAUCCCGCACACCGCCGCACACCGGAGGUAAGCCACUGCCGCCGCCUGCACAUCGGAGGAACUGCUGCUUUUCAGCCGGUGCUGCCGCCAAGCUACCCUUCAGCCGCCUUUGAACCCACGACAGCAGGUAGUUUUAAUUUUAUUUUGGCGUUCGUUUUCUGUAAAAUUGGUUGUUCUUGUUUCUUGUUGAUUUCAAUUUAUGGCUUGUUCUUUGAAUUUCUUGUUGAAAACACACUAAACCUAAUUUCAUUUCACACGCAUUCUCCUGGCUGCCUCCAAUCUCCAUCUGUGCUUCCUCGCCUGACGCCUCCUCUCUCAUUCCUUCUGUGCUUCUGUGCUCCUGUGCUUCUCUGAUAAUCGCCUCCUCGCCUUCAACCCAUCGACAAUCGAGUAUCGACAGUGCUUCUGUGCUUCUUCGAGGCUUCGACGCUCCUCCUCCAAUCUUCAAACUCCAAUCUCAGCAUUCACCACGGAAUCAAGUGUAGAAUCUCGUAAUGGAAUACAUUAGUUUGUGACAAUCUUGACGAAGCCAAGCGUCUGAGCUGGACUGGGGAAAGGUGUAAAGUUGUAACUACGGAUGGAAUUCUCCUUACCGAAGCUGGUACUAUGACUGGAGGCACAAC